GCAGCCGUCAAGAUGUGGUGACUUGCCUUGAGAUCAUGAAAACCAGAACGGAAUUUGAACAUGUUAAGGAAAUGCCGCCAUUGGGUAUCAUCCUCUACAGAGAUCUUAUGGAAACCACAUGGAGUUGUGACAGGCUGUUGCCCUGGAAGUUUGGUGAUGUUCCUUUUGAAUUCUAUUUGGUUUAUCUCAAUGAGUACUUCUACCGAAAUACUCAUGCAAUCAACGUGCGUGCUGCAGCCCGUACUUGUCUGGAGAUGGAGGACAAGCUGAGUUGCGCAGGAGUUUUGACUGCUGAUGUUGAUGCACUGAGAAAAAUUAUCAAGGAACGA